rnacentral:rRNA from 11 species
AAUUACCUUCUAAAUACCCUGAGGGUACCAGUUCCUUUCUGAUCUUGGAAACUAAUUAAGACCAUCCCUAGUUAGUACUUAGAUGAGAAGACACCAAGGCAUACCAGGGGCUGUAAGGC